rnacentral:rRNA from 1 species
CCUACGGGCGGCAGCAGUGAGGAAUAUUGGUCAAUGGCCGGAAGGCUGAACCAGCCAUGCCGCGUGAAUGUCAGUGCCCUAUGGGCGUUAAACUUCUUUUGUGCGGGAGCAAUACUGGUCACGUGUGGCCAGACGAGAGUACCGUACGAAUAAGCAUCGCCUAACCACGUGCCAGCAGCCGCGGUACUAUGGGGGAUGCAAGCGUUAUUCGGAUGUAUUGGGUUUAAAGGGUGCGUAGGCUGUGAGGUAAGUCAGCGGUGACAUGCCCCCGCGGACCGGGGUGAAGUGCCAUUGAUACUGCCUUGCUGGAAUGCGGAUGCCGUGGGAGGAAUGUGUGGUGUAGCGGUGAAAUGCAUAGAUAUCACACAGAACACCGAUUGCGAGGGCAUCUCACGAAUCCGCGAUUGACGCUGAUGCACGAAAGCGUGGGUAUCAAACAGGAUUAGAUACCCUAGUAGUC